UACAGAGGGGGCAAGCGUUGUUCGGAAUUACUGGGCGUAAAGGGCGCGUAGGCGGCCUGCUAAGUCGAACGUGAAAUCCCCGGGCUCAACCCGGGAACUGCGUCCGAUACUGGCAGGCUUGAAUCCGGGAGAGGGAUGUGGAAUUCCAGGUGUAGCGGUGAAAUGCGUAGAUAUCUGGAGGAACACCGGUGGCGAAGGCGGCAUCCUGGACCGGUAUUGACGCUGAUGCGCGAAAGCCAGGGGAGCAAAGCGGGG
rnacentral:rRNA from 1 species